UUUAUGCCCGCGUCACACUGUCCCGAUUUUUACGCCGAUGGCAACACGAUUAAGGAAGUUUUCGAAAUCGGGACUGAUCGUAUCCAGAUCGGGCUAUUCGUAGUGCCAUCUUUAACCAUCGGCCACUUUUUCUAGCCUUCGGGGACAACUUCGGGAAGGGUUCUAAAUUUUUUAACAUGUUAAAAAAUCCCCGAAGGUGCGUCCGAUGUUGAGGGUUCGUAUUGAGUUCGUAUCACCAUCCUCACCAUCGUAAUGUCACCGGGAAUGCAUCUUUGAACAUCGUUUUGCAUUCAUGUUUCCAUCGUUUCCAUCGGGCAGUUUUAACAUUACGAUGUCUACACGAAUGAAUCACGAAGCUAUCCGAAGGUCUUACGAUGGCAACACGACUUCGUGAAGACCUCGUAAUCCCGUCGUGUUGCCAUCGAAUAAAAGUACGAAGGCGACAAGAUGGAACUACGACGGCAAUAAAUCCAGCUAAAUGUAAGUUAAUUUUCGCGCUAAAAUACAUUUAAAGUGUCAUGCGCGUAUUACAGGCUCAGGAUUUACGUUUACAAGUAAAAUAUUAUUUUUUGUGAAUUUUUCAUAUCAAGUAACAUAAUGAAAAUCAUAAACGCGCCUCGUACACCAACACUGCAGUUACACGAAUAUAGGGAAACCAACUUUUUCUUCAUUAUUCUGAUUUUUUAUGUAUCGUCUGAGUUGUUGUCACACGAAUGUUUACUCCAUAACCAUAUUGUUUUCUAUAUGUCAUAUUUUGCCGCAUUUGUUGCUUUCCCCACAUCCUUCCUUUUGUCUAUAUUAUUAUGAUAUUCUCCUGGAAAGAGCUCUUUUUUAAUAAAAGGGAUCAACGAACCCAUUACCUUACCUUUAAGAUAGAUCAGUAAACAUGGUCAUAAUUAUGGGUGAUUAUUCAGACUAGUGCACACAUUUUACAGUUCAAACAAGGCAAUGCCGAGCGUGGCAUCCCCUCGUAUGUAAAUUGAAUAUGCAUAUUUGAUACAUAAACUAUUUUUUCCAGUUCUUUGUCUCUUUUUCUCUGUGCUAUGGGUAUCCGAUUCCGAACUUUCCACUUCUAUAUCUAUUUUUCUUUUGGUCUUGUACUUUCCUGCUAGACUGAUACCCCUCCCUCUUCCUCUUCCUCUCCCUCUCCCUGAUUUUGGUGGCAUUAUAUGCAGAGACUCAGAGUCAAGUUUUACCCUCUAAGCCCACGGUCUUCCGUCUUAUGAUUAAACCAGAAAUUAAAUAUACAAUAUAAUAUAUAUUCAAUAUUGAUCAAACAAUUUAAAACGCG
rnacentral:lncRNA from 1 species